rnacentral:rRNA from 1 species
CUUGCACCGGGGAUUAGUGGCGAACGGGUGAGUAACACGUGAGUAACCUGCCCUUAACUCUGGGAUAAGCCUGGGAAACUGGGUCUAAUACCGGAUAUGACCUUCCAUCGCAUGGUGGUUGGUGGAAAGCUUUUUGUGGUUUUGGAUGGACUCGCGGCCUAUCAGCUUGUUGGUGAGGUAAUGGCUUACCAAGGCGACGACGGGUAGCCGGCCUGAGAGGGUGACCGGCCACACUGGGACUGAGACACGGCCCAGACUCCUACGGGAGGCAGCAGUGGGGAAUAUUGCACAAUGGGCGCAAGCCUGAUGCAGCGACGCCGCGUGAGGGAUGACGGCCUUCGGGUUGUAAACCUCUUUCAGUAGGGAAGAAGCGAAAGUGACGGUACCUGCAGAAGAAGCGCCGGCUAACUACGUGCCAGCAGCCGCGGUAAUACGUAGGGCGCAAGCGUUAUCCGGAAUUAUUGGGCGUAAAGAGCUCGUAGGCGGUUUGUCGCGUCUGCCGUGAAAGUCCGGGGCUCAACUCCGGAUCUGCGGUGGGUACGGGCAGACUAGAGUGAUGUAGGGGAGACUGGAAUUCCUGGUGUAGCGGUGAAAA